AAGGGUAGAGGGCAGGGUUUCUUAGUACAGCGUUUGUACUCACCACUUUUGGUUUUUAGAGUCACUACACGCACAAUGCCGUCUUCUCCUGGAUGGAUUGCGGUGAUUCUUUUCAUGGACCAAACAAGUGGGGGUAUAUUGUCUUCAUGGAUCAGAACUAUAUCUUCAACUUGAAUCCUGCUAGUUGAUCAACAACGUUGAUGCGAGCUAAUAAGGUCAUUUGGAUCCGAGGAUGAAGGAGAUAAAGGACGAGAGUUCAAUAUCGUUGCGAUCUCAAUUAUAUAUGUUUCUAAUUGUUUAUAUGUAAGCAACGUAUGUAUGUGAAUGUUUUUUAAAUAAUUUGACUGCAGCUUACCAAAGUCCUUCAAAA